GAUGAACGCUGGCGGCGUGCCUAAUACAUGCAAGUCGAGCGAACAGACGAGGAGCUUGCUCCUCUGACGUUAGCGGCGGACGGGUGAGUAACACGUGGAUAACCUACCUAUAAGACUGGGAUAACUUCGGGAAACCGGAGCUAAUACCGGAUAAUAUAUUGAACCGCAUGGUUCAAUAGUGAAAGACGGUUUUGCUGUCACUAAAAGUCGAUCCGGGCCGCAUUAGCUAGUUGGUAAGGUAACGGCUUAACCAAGCAACGAUGCGUAACCGACCUGAGAGGGUGAUCGGCCACACUGGAACUGAGACACGGUCCAGACUCCUACGGGAGGCAGCAGUAGGGAAUCUUCCGCAAUGGGCGAAAGCUUGACGGAGCAACGCCGCGUGAGUGAUGAAGGUCUUCGGAUCGUAAAACUCUGUUAUUAGGGAAGAACAAAUGUGUAAGUAACUAUGCACGUCUUGACGGUACCUAAUCAGAAAGCCACGGCUAACUACGUG
rnacentral:rRNA from 1 species